rnacentral:rRNA from 1 species
AUUGAACGCUGGCGGCAGGCCUAACACAUGCAAGUCGAGCGGAUGAAGGGAGCUUGCUCCUGGAUUCAGCGGCGGACGGGUGAGUAAUGCCUAGGAAUCUGCCUGGUAGUGGGGGAUAACGUCCGGAAACGGGCGCUAAUACCGCAUACGUCCUGAGGGAGAAAGUGGGGGAUCUUCGGACCUCACGCUAUCAGAUGAGCCUAGGUCGGAUUAGCUAGUUGGUGGGGUAAAGGCCUACCAAGGCGACGAUCCGUAACUGGUCUGAGAGGAUGAUCAGUCACACUGGAACUGGGACACGGUCCAGACUCCUACGGGAGGCAGCAGUGGGGAAUAUUGGACAGUAGGCGAAAGCCUGAUCCAGCCAUGCCGCGUGUGUGAAGAAGGUCUUCGGAUUGUAAAGCACUUUAAGUUGGGAGGAAGGGCAGUAAGUUAAUACCUUGCUGUUUUGACGUUACCAACAGAAUAAGCACCGGCUAACUUCGUG